AGACAUGAUAGAGGCGCGGUGUCUAAGAGUACUAUAUCUGAGGCAAGCACGAUGAGGGUAUAGGAAAGGAGCCACCGCCGAAGCGUAGAGCUGAUGCUUUAAGGCUCUAUGGCUGGGGCUGUAUAGAAUAUAUACAGCACUGUCACAAACGCAUAGUUUGUGGAGAGCUAUCAUGCAA
rnacentral:ncRNA from 2 species